rfam:Oryza glumipatula chromosome 10, whole genome shotgun sequence.
AAAAAGGCAAACCCUGGGUUUCCGUGUCCAACUCUAACUGUUCAUCUUAUAUGAAAUUUUUUUAUAAUUCGUAUUUUCAUUGUUGUUAGAUGAUAAAAUAUGAUUAAUAUUUUAUGCUUGACUUGUCUUUUAUUUUUUUUCAUAAUUUUUUCAAAUAAGACAGAUGGUCAAACGUUAGGCACGGAGACCAGGGUUUGUCUUUUU